rnacentral:rRNA from 1 species
UGCGUAGGGUGCAAGCGUUGUCCGGAAUUAUUGGGCGUAAAGAGCUCGUAGGCGGUUUGUCGCGUCUGCUGUGAAAACCCGAGGCUCAACCUCGGGCCUGCAGUGGGUACGGGCAGACUAGAGUGCGGUAGGGGAGAUUGGAAUUCCUGGUGUAGCGGUGGAAUGCGCAGAUAUCAGGAGGAACACCGAUGGCGAAGGCAGAUCUCUGGGCCGUAACUGACGCUGAGGAGCGAAAGCAUGGGGAGCGAACAGG